CCUACGGGUGGCAGCAGUAGGGAAUAUUGCUCAAUGGGGGAAACCCUGAAGCAGCAACGCCGCGUGGAGGAUGAAGGUUUUCGGCUUGUCAAAUCCUUUUGUUAGAGAAGAUAAUGACGGUAUCUAACGAAUAAGCACCGGCUACCUCCGUGCCAGCAGCCGCGGUAAUCCGGAGGGUGCAAGCGUUACUCGGAAUCACUGGGCGUAAAGCGCGCGGAGGCGGGAUAGCAAGUCAGAUGUGAAAUCCUAUGGCUUAACCAUAGAACUGCAUUUGAAACUGUUGUUCUAGAGUAUGGGAGAGGUAUGUGGAAGGCGUGGUGUAGGGGUAAAAUCCGUAGAGAUCGAGAGGAAUACUCAUUGCGAAGGCGACCUGCUAGAACAUAACUGACGCUGAGGCGCGAAAGCGUGGGGAGCAAACAGGAUUAGAUACCCUGGUAGUC
rnacentral:rRNA from 1 species